rnacentral:rRNA from 1 species
UACGUAGGGCGCAAGCGUUGUCCGGAUUCACUGGGUGUAAAGGGUGCGUAGGCGGGAGAGUAAGUCCGCGGUGAAAUCUCACGGCUCAACCGUGAAACUGCCGUUGAUACUGCUUUUCUUGAGUUCGGGAGAGGUUGAUGGAAUUCCAGGUGUAGCGGUGAAAUGCGUAGAUAUCAGGAGGAACACCGGCGGUGUAGACGGCUUUCUGGACCGUAGCUGACGCUGAGACACGAAAGCGUGGGUAGCAAACAGG